UGCCAGCAGCCGCGGUAAUACGGAGGGUGCAAGCGUUGUCCGGAUUUAUUGGGUUUAAAGGGUGCGUAGGCGGACUUUUAAGUCAGUGGUGAAAUCCUGCAGCUUAACUGUAGAACUGCCAUUGAUACUGGAAGUCUUGAGUACACUAGAAGUAGGCGGAAUUUAUGGUGUAGCGGUGAAAUGCAUAGAUACCAUAAAGAACACCGAUAGCGUAGGCAGCUUACUGGAGUGUAACUGACGCUGAGGCACGAAAGCAUGGGGAGCGAACAGGAUUAGAUA
rnacentral:rRNA from 1 species